ensembl:lncRNA
CAGCAGUUCCCAUUUUCCUGCACGAAUUCUUCUAUUCCAAAAUCAGUCUCGUAGGCUAUAAAUAUCUUCUACCAGGAUUUUGGGAUAGGCUACAUGGAAGUCAUUGGCAUCAAACAGAAUGAGACCCAGUUAUAAUGUUCUUUGGCCACACAAGUGCUCACAUAUGGUGGACAAACAGUGCUUCUAAACGCAGAGCCUGUAUGGAGCUAAGGAUGCUAUCGCCUGGGCUCAGGGAGCAGUGACAGCCAUCAGAGCUGCUCUGAUCAUUAGGCUGUGUGUCACUGCGGGGUAACUAAGUCAGCAACAACCCAGACACAACGGCAACACGAUGCACUUUAUUAUCCUCUUACCUUUCCAUACAGCCCGCCUGAAAAAUGUCACAAAGUGUGACUCAUCACAUCUGCAUGAAGUUAUGAGAAAAGUAAGCCUUGUUAACCUGCUGUUUGAAAACCAGAACACUUUUAUCAGUUCAUAUAAUUGCUAACCCCUUAUUCACUGUUCAACACUGAAGGGUUCUUUGCCUCCUAAGAUCCCACUAAUUGCUGACAGAUUUGAUUUCUCUGUGACAGCAGGAGUCCUGUUUCUGGCCUUUACAUCAAGUAAUUGCUUUAUUUUUCUCCCUCUGCUCUGAAAAACGGAAUUCCCUUCUCCCCUGCUUGAACCUCUGUAAUGACUUCUUUCUAUGUUAUUAAAUCCUUGCCAUUUAAAUCACAUUUAGAGAUGUUUUGAAUAACUGAUUCCAAUUACUAAGGCUCUUACUAAGGAGCAGCUGAAAACGCAAGUCAUUACUUGCCCACAGACAGGCAGCUACACCUUGCAGCAAAGUCUCUGGUGGACCAUAUUUUAUUUCUCCUCGGUAAGGUGCAAUUUAUACUCACAGGAGGCGGGUGUUCAACAAAUAUACAGCCGCUGGAGUUCUCAUGACUUGUCACUCGUGCAAAAUGGAGGCCUGGUUUUAUAUUUGUUUUAUAAAUAGUGCCAUUCCUUACAGAAAUCCUCCUGUCCUUCCUCGGAACAACAAGGAGAUGAGCACUGACCGCGGAAUGACCCACGCAAGGUUUCUAUCCAGGGAUCUAAUAAAAAAGCAUGGCAAGGGAAAAGGAAACAGGACUGCGGGUCGUGCAUUCCUUCCGAGAGGCACGAUCAGCCUCUGUUGUUCUUACAUUGUUUUUUACACAGGUCACGAUUCCUUGAAUCGACGGAGAACUUCCCAGCAAUAACAGCUUAGCUCAGUUAUUAAUCAUGCUUGUAGUCAUUAGCGCCUUUGUAGAAAAAAUAUGUGCCAGGAGAUGAUUAUUUGACAAAUUACUGCAGGGACUCAGCAUAAUAACUUUGCUGAUACAAUCAGCGUUGAGCCAUUAUAAAACAAAAACAACAAAAAAAAACAACCAUGUAUGAAGCAACUUCCAAACUGUUUAUGAAAUACACUAUAAAUGAGCGGGGACGGACUUUUAAAUAGUUUGCAUGCAGUUCUUCACAACCGCACGCUCGGUUCAUUCUCAUAUACAGGCACUACUGUGGCACAUGGAAGCAGCUAAUGAACGAAGAUAAUUCAUAAUAACUGAGGAAUGCGCAGCUGUCUCUAAUUCAAGGAGCGUGGAUGCGGCAGAUGAUGCUGGCUGGAGCUGUGCUGGGAAGGCUGCAGCCCGUGGGCAGCUUCCACUGGUGCAGGCUGAACCGGGGCACUGGAACCUGGACAAGAAACACAUAAUCACUUCUGUAUUCGUGCAUUAACUUUCUGACACUUCCUUCUGUCUAGCCCUGAUAAUGAGCCCUGGUUUACUUUGACCAGCGGAGUAAAGCUACCACCAAGUGGAAUAAAAGCUAUUUGAUACAGUGCAAGGUGUUCCUAUACUCCUGCAAAGGCUCAACAAGAAGGUCUACAUCUAUAGCUGGAGGGAUGCCUCAGUGCCUGGUGUCUGAAGGAGGACAGCCCCAUGAUGGCAGCUCUUGGUUCUUGUCAUCCACAUCCACUCUUGCUCUUCCUGAAUUGCCCAGAAAUGUCCUUGAUUGCUCUGAUUUGUGACCCCUCAGUAUCUAGAGGGCAAAAGGAAGCGACGAGGGGAAAACCGCUACGAUAUGGCUAAGGAACAAAUAUCAUUUAGUGAAGGUGCUGGUGUGGAGUUGUGUUCCCCGUGGUGUUGGCUCAGGCAGGCUCAGAGCUGCUUGUCACCGACGCAGUGAGCACUGCCACCAGCUGAUGCCAGGCUGCCCUGGGGACCAGCAUGGUGACAGCAGCAGUGGGGUAUGGCCGGGCCACCUGCCCCCCUCCCACUUCUUACCCCUGGGCUCUUACUCAGGCUGCCUCAGGACAAGGAAGUACGCCCAGCACUACACAAAGAAGUUAGAAGAGCAUUCGGACCCAGACCAGCCAAAGCUCAUGACUAUUGCCAAGUCAUAGGCAUAGCAGAAAUGCUAACUCACAGCCUGAAGCAGUGAUUGAGCACCUGGUGGGAAGGCAGGGCCAACCCAGGGGAGCUCAGGUGCAUGCAAUGGAGCUGAGUAACCGGAAGCCAGGAUCCACCCCUUCCCAGACCUCAUUUAAGGGUUGGCAGUGGGGAGGUAAGGGAAUCUUGCUGGAGAUCCCUCCAUGCUAGAGUUCUUUUGGAGAACAAAGAAAAUAUAAUAAAUGUUGAUCCUGGGAACUUGAAUAUGCUAUAAUCCAGAGUUCAUUAUGACUUCAGGGACUGCUAAUAGUAAUAAGGCAUUACACUGUUCUAAGAAGCUUCAUAUCUAGAAGAAGGAUCGAAGAAAGCAAGCACAAAACCACUCCUGACAACUCCCAAAACCUCAGUGGUUAGAGAUAUGAAGUUAACUCUCAGCCUUAAAGCACUGAAUAGCAUUUGAGCCCUAACUCAAGAGCUGGGUCUUGAAACUAACAACUCAUGCCAUUAAUCUUAUUGAUCUACGGUGAAGAUUUGACCCAGGGUCCGCAAGUGGGGUUUUGCUGGUGGUGCAGGGCCAUGCAAUGCAAUGGGAUGAUGCAGCCCUCAGCAGGACUAGUGUUACCACUGAUAGUAGUUGGGAAGGGAGUCAUAUGGCAACUGAUCUCACUGCUCUUGAGUCCCCUCUAAAAAUGCUUGCACUUCCCCAAGAAUACAAUAUAGGUGAGGCAGAAUUGUUGGAUGGAAUGGGAAUUAGGAAAGGAAUGGUUAUGGACAGACUUGCUUAUUUUGCUCCAGUCAGAGUUGGCUCAGCAGAGCCUGUCUAGUGCUGAGCUGGUAACCAUUAGAUUUGCAUUCCUGCAGGUAAAUGCAAGCUAGCAGCAG